UGUCCCCUUAGUUCAAUGGAUAGAACAAGCCCCUCCUAAGGGCUAGAUGCUGGUUCGACUCCAGCAGGGGGCGCCA
rnacentral:tRNA from 1 species